rnacentral:rRNA from 1 species
AUGAGCUCGCGUCCGAUUAGUUAGUUGGUGUGGUAAGAGCGCACCAAGACGGCGAUCGGUAGCUGGUCUGAGAGGACGAUCAGCCACACUGGAACUGAGAAACGGUCCAGACUCCUACGGGAGGCAGCAGUGGGGAAUUUUCCGCAAUGGGCGAAAGCCUGACGGAGCAAUACCGCGUGAGGGAGGAAGGCUCUUGGGUUGUAAACCUCUUUUCUCAAGGAAUAAAAAAAUGAAGGUACUUGAGGAAUCAGCAUCGGCUAACUCCGUGCCAGCAGCCGCGGUAAUACGGAGGAUGCAAGCGUUAUCCGGAAUGAUUGGGCGUAAAGGGUCCGCAGGUGGUCACUCAAGUCGGCUGUCAAAGAGUCUGGCUCAACUAGAUAAGGGCAGUGGAAACUGAGAGACUGGAGUCUGGUAGGGGUAGAGGGAAUUCCCGGUGUAGCGGUGAAAUGCGUAGAGAUCGGGAAGAACACCGGUGGCGAAAGCGCUCUGCUGGACCAGAACUGACACUGAGGGACGAAAGCUAGGGGAGCGAAUGGGAUUAGAUACCCCAGUAGUCCUAGCCGUAAACGAUGGAUACUAGGCGUUACGCGUAUCGACCCGCGUAGUGCCGGAGCCAACGCGUUAAGUAUCCCGCCUGGGGAGUACGCACGCAAGUGUGAAACUCAAAGGAAUUGACGGGGGCCCGCACAAGCGGUGGAGUAUGUGGUUUAAUUCGAUGCAACGCGAAGAACCUUACCAGGGCUUGACAUGUCGCGAAUCUCUCUGAAAGGAGAGAGUGCCUUCGGGAGCGCGAACACAGGUGGUGCAUGGCUGUCGUCAGCUCGUGUCGUGAGAUGUUGGGUUAAGUCCCGCAACGAGCGCAACCCUCGUACUUAGUUGCCAUCAUUAAGUUGGGAACUCUAAGAAGACUGCCGGUGACAAACCGGAGGAAGGUGGGGAUGACGUCAAGUCAGCAUGCCCCUUACGUCCUGGGCUACACACGUACUACAAUGCUGUGGACAGAGGGCAGCAAGCUAGUGAUAGCAAGCAAAUCUCAUAAACCAUGGCUCAGUUCAGAUCGAAGCUUGCAACUCAGCUUCGUGAAGGUGGAAUCGCUAGUAAUUGCAGGUCAGCAUACUGCAGUGAAUUCGUUCCCGGGCCUUGUACACACCGCCCG